AUCGAGAGAGGGGCUUCGCGCUCCCCGGGGGUUUCCGUCCCCGACUCUUCACCCAUUGCGUAUCUACCUUUUGUUGCUUUGGCGGACCUCGAGGUUACCCUCGCGCCCGGNUCCCGGGCUGGCGAGCGUUCGUCAGAGGCCCAUACCAAAUCCAUUUUAUNAGUGAUGUCCGAGCCAAACAUAUACAAAUAGCUAAAACUUUCAACAACGGAUCUCUUGGUUCCAGCAUCGAUGAAGAACCGCAGCGAAAUGCGAUAAGUAAUGUGAAUUGCAGAAUUCAGUGAAUCAUCGAAUCUUUGAACGCACAUUGCGCCCCUUGGUAUUCCGAGGGGCAUACCUGUUCGAGCGUCAUUACACCCCUUAAGCUCGCUUGGUGUUGGGCUUCGCCCCCGAGGCGGGCCCCAAAAGCAGUGGCGGUCGGGCUCGACUUCAAGCGUAGUAAAAUAUCCCGCUUCGAAAGUUCGCGCCGUGGCCGGCCAGGCAACCCUCAAUAGCUCAAUAA
rnacentral:rRNA from 1 species